UAUCGUAUGAUUGCGCCAGUAGAUUUUCCAACUUUUAAGUUUUGAGCACAUAAGUUUUAUUCUUUCUCACAACCAGCACAUAUGUCGGUGAGUUAUUUCUUUUUCCCCAAUACAAAUUGAUAAAGUGUUGGUGAGAGAAACAGAGUAAACCUAAAUUGUCACUAGAUUUUAGAGAGAGAAGGAACGCUACAGCCCACUGUUCCGGUGCGUCCUUAGUUCCAAGCGCUUUUAGGUUAUUCCUGAUUUGUUUCGAUCAGCAUAAUUCGUCGUUUACUGCGAGUGAAUCAGAAAUCAAAACAAAGGAAACAUGUGGCACAAUUCGAAGAAGAAGAAUAAGAAGCGUGCCGGAACAGGGCGGGGUAGGCCACCAUCCGAUAAUACUUUGAUCGACGGGGAGCUUCUCUCGCAGGACCUUAUAGUUCUUUAUGUAAUUAGGUUAUGUAAUGAUACUAAUAAAAAUAGCUAUAAUACUAUUGUUAUAAGCUGUAACUGUAUUUGAUUUUUUGUUUGAAUUCAUCAUCUCAAAUUUUAUAAUUAAAA